UACGGGGGGGGCAAGCGUUGUUCGGAAUUACUGGGCGGAAAGGGUUUGUAGGUGGCUUGCUAAGUCAGACGUGAAAUCCCUCAGCUUAACUGGGGAACUGCGUCUGAGACUGGUGAGCUUGAGUGCAGGAGAGGAACGCGGAAUUCCAGGUGUAGCGGUGAAAUGCGUAGAUAUCUGGAGGAACACCGGUGGCGAAGGCGGCGUUCUGGACUGCAACUGACACUGAGGAACGAAAGCCAGGGGAGCAAACGGG
rnacentral:rRNA from 1 species